GUCUCCAUCACAACCAUCAUACCGAUCCGCAGUACCGCUACCGCUCAACCGCUGAUUCUGUUUUUGUCGUAAAGUAAACGUAAACUCGUAAACGAAACCUUGCGGUUAAUGUUUGGGCAAUGGGAGUUUGGAAUGAAGAAGUCGUGCUGUGUUUCUUUCAGUAAAGAAAGAUUUGCAUAGAAAGGCGAAAUACUUCAUGAAUAAUUUUACGGCAAGAAGCUGCAUAAUGAUACUACGAUACACUUUGACAUGAGUAUAUCUGAAAUUCCAGUGAACCAGUCAGUUCACCAGCAACAGUUUCUAGUCCUGGCCAAAAGCCAGAAAACAAUGUAAGAAGAAACAUCAGCAAUUUAUCAUCGCAGGAUACCACAACAGAUUUGUGCAUCACACAGGGUAAUCAAGCGUUUGCAGUCAGCAUACUCAGUAAUCUUGUUUCUAAAGACGAACUGAAAUCCUUGAAGAUGUCUUGGGACUGUUGUCACUUUGUCCAACAGCGUCCUGGAAGAACUGCAACUUUGCAUCACCACAAUUUAAAACAUUCCAGCCACAGAGUUCCAGUACAGCAUAUCCUUUACAGUCUUCCGGUCUUCGGCUGCCUAAGGAAUAUGUUGGAUAUCACUUGGUGGCUAAAAUUAUGUCUGCUAGAUGACGUGAGUGUCUUACUCAAGACAUCAUCAGUGUCAAGACAAAAUUCCGCCAUUUCUUAAACGCUGAUUUGAUUGGAAACCAUGUUAAAAAUGUAUCGUUUCGAUUGGAUACUUAAUAUGGCGUACUUUUCUUUCUUGAAAUUUUUAUUCGUAAAAAUGGUAUCUAUCUGGUAACAGCCUACAAUUUCUACAUGGCAAUUUCAUCUGAUCAUGUGGCCUGAGCAGCUGCACAAAAUGUCCUCUCUUUUUCCUGUACCAGCUUCAUGUUUGUCAGAAACACUUCAGAACAAUUAGGGAAUAACAUGCUGGUGGAGUCUGAGCUUCUGAUCUUCUCCGUUGCUGCCCAACAUAAAUAUGGAUUUGAAGCAGCCAUCUGAUAAAGGGUGUUUUGCUACCUGUGGUGCUGUGUUUCAUCACUUGAAGAAACACUUAGCUACAAUUGAAGUUUAUCGUUUAUGUUCCCGUAGUUGCUGUCCGAUGUGGCACGCUGUUGCACCCUAUGCUGGAGAAAUGUCUCUCUGCAUUCAACUGGUCGUUCCUUGGUGGUGGUGUCGUGUUACCGAAGUUGCAUCAUUAUUUGUCAAAUUGUCAUCGUGUCUAUGCAGUUUACCAUUUAUAAGUUAAGACGCAACAAAAACAAUUAUGGGAUGUUUAUGUCAAACAAAUAAUAAACAUGUUUUAGGGGUUGGGAAAGGAAAGGGAUGAUGUUGGAGGGGGUAGGAUAUUUCAAGUUUGGAUAAAAAUUCAGUUAAUCUAUAACCCCACAAACAUAUCCCUACUAAUUAAUCUUCAAACCCCACAAACGUUUACCUUCCAAUUCUUCCAACCCCACAAACCUACACCUACCGACCUUCAA
rnacentral:lncRNA from 1 species